rnacentral:lncRNA from 1 species
AUUUGAUGUUAGUGAGUGAUUGAGUGACAACGGUUUUAAAGAAUGAGUAAAUUUGAAAGCACCCGGUUGUUGUGGGAAGCGCUAGUGAAACUGAAGAGCCAGCAAGACAACAAGAAGCUGAACAUUUUUUAAAAUUAAAGAAGCAACAAGUCGGAGUUGAAGCAGAAACUUCUUCAAUUGAGGAACUGAGGUUUUGAGCCUUCCAAGCCUUUUACAAGAAAACUUAGAUCGGAAUCUGUUAGAAUUCACCUAUUGGGCAGCAGCAGCCACUCAAAAGGUUUCUGCCGGAUUUGGAAGGAAAACUUGCUCAAAGAUCGCUAACCACUACCAGAAGAUUCCGCAUAUUUCCUGCGUCUCUGACCUAAUAACGCAAAUAAUUGAUUGGCCAGGUGAGCUGAAAAAUUCACAAUAUAAAAUUGCGUUUCCCUACUCAAAAUGGUUUCUUAAACCCAAGAAAACACACCAAAGUUUUUGUGUAUUAAUUAACUAACUAACACUAAGUAACCUACACGUAUUAGCUUAAAGGAUUAUACAAGGUGGUAUAUUAUCGCUUCGUUCGUGUCGAUUCACGGCACUUUUAAUCCUAAUUUCCCAUAGACAAUCGCUCGUUAAUUAUUGUCAAACAUUUUGAAAUCGCUUUACGAUCUGCUCAUAAUCGCUAUCAGGGAGGAUUCCUUAUGGGCGAAACAAUGGCAAAUUAUGGCAGGGAUUAGGAGCCGUUUAUUGGCCAUCCUCCUGUUUUUCUGCGUAAAAUUUGCUUU